AUGCUAGAGAGGAAAUGGGGAGUGGUGAGAAACAUCAGAGAGGAGGAGGGGACGGGGAAGGUUGGGGAGGAACUGGAGCUGCUCCUCGGUCGCAGAGCAUCGAUGCAGCCCCGGCAGUCCUGCAACAUUGGGGCACUGCUCUUUGGCCCCAUGGUCCUGUCUCUGGGACUCCUGCUCCAUGCUCAGCAAGCUGUCAGCCAGGAGCUCUGUGAAGCCCCAGGUCAUCUCCCAGCCCCCAGCAUCUUUCUGAGCCCCACAGCAGCCCGGCUGGGUGAAACUGUGCAGCUCCAGUGCACGGUGGACACCAGCGGCCACAUCAGCCGUAUCAUCUUCUGCCACAACGGGCAGGAGGCGAGUGCCAUGAAGGGUGAAAAAAAGAGCAUCUACAACCACUACGAGAGUGUGUCCGCAGCCAGUUCUGGCAACUACUCUUGUGGAUAUGAGAUCCGAGACAUCAUGAACCGGGUAACCCGAUCUCAGUUCAGCCCUGUGCAACAUCUGCACAUCCAAGGUGACAAGCCUGAAGGCACCCACACUGCUGCAGGGCCCAGCGAGGAGCCGACUCUGGCAGGCCAACGUUUCGUCCUCAGCCUGGGCAUUUCAGUUCCUUGUAUCCUGCUUCUGGCUGCACUGGGAUGCCUGAUAAUUAGGAAAGGGGCCAGAGCAAGCAGGAGGACACUCCAGAAGACGAAGUUCAAUAUGCCUCCAUCACUGUUGCACGAACUUCCAAGCCAGCUUGCCCACCAGAAGAUACGACAUCGACGUACGCAGCCAUUGCACCACGGAGGAACCAGUAUCAUUAAGGCAUGGCAAGGUGGUAUCAGGAGCACACGGGAGCUGGGAUCAUCGGUAGAAGGCCCUGGCUUGUCUGUGGUCCUCUGCCAGGCUCGUGCACCCAGCAACAUCCCUGUGCGUCUCCCCUGAAGGAGCAUUUCAUCCGCACCCACUUCCUGCUCCACUUUCUUCCUUCUUGUCCUUGCCUCCAUCCAUGAGCAAACUCCACAUCCUCUGCUCCAGUGAGAGGUUUCUCCACCAAUAUUUUGCAUACCUGAAUGAAAUCCUGAGAUGGGCUUAGAAAUCUCACUUUUUUUUUUUUUUAGGAUUUUUUUUGCAGCAUCUCCUUGACCUUACUGGCAUAUCGGCUAGAAGCAGUGAGACAUUUACAUCCAAAACAGAGAUGCUCACACAACCCUGUGCUAUCAGGCCCAGGCUAGAGGAAGGACAUCCAGUCUUGACAAUGUACAGCAAAAUUAGAAACUUCAGCAACACUCGGACUUAUUGCAUCGUGGCACUAUUGUUGACUGCCCUGUAACGCAGCUCUGCAGCUUUGGGGAUGCUGUUUAUUUUACAGGUCCCUUUUAACAAGUCUUCAUAGACAGCGUUGCCCAAUGUCCAUUGAUCCCAGCAGGAGCUUUGAGACCCCAUCCUACAUGCAGUCCCCAAAACUGAGGGCUCUUCUUUUCUGCAACUGAACCACCUCCCCUUGGGACUCUAUCCAGAGGAUGUAAACCCUGGAAAUAGCAGCUCUGCAAGGUGUUUGCAGGAGCUGCGCGCCCUUGGCAACACAACUGCUGUUAUUGCUUGGUGUGUGCCAAGCCCUCGUGGUCACGGCAGCUCCAGAGGGAUUGUGGGGACCGAUAUUGUUUGUCUCAGUCCAGCUGCAAAUUGCAGAGCGCUGGAUUUUCAUCCUCGGCAGGUCGAUUUAGUCUCUUGUCCUUGGGAUUCAUUUUUACCCGCUUGCUAGGAAGGGAAACACUGAUCUCAGCCUGCACUUUCCCCUCUCUCCAUUGCUAAACUUUCACUUUGGCCCAGGGAUUUCAUUUCCCUGUUUCUAUGACCAGAAACUUUGCCUGUGCAUGGCACAGUUGAAAAUCUUCAAUAAAAUCUGCUUUUAAUGAGGAAAACCCCA
rnacentral:lncRNA from 1 species